rnacentral:lncRNA from 1 species
GAUUCUUAUUUGGUAUAUUGAUAUAUUAUGUUUAAUAUUAUUAGUUUAUUUGAUUAUUCCUGUUAGUUUAAUAUAUACUUAUGUGACAUAUGAAGAUGAAAAUGUAUCAAACAGUUUGUUAAAAUUUAAAUAUUUCCAUUCAGCAUUGAAAAAAGUUAAACAUAAAACAAUAAAUUUGUCUGAUGAACAAAAGUCUAAUUUGAUGAAACGUUUACUUUAUGCUAGUGAAGAUUUAAUUGUAAAAAUGAAAAAUUAUAGUAAAAAAAUAAAAAAAAAAAAAAAAAAAAAAAUAGCAAAAUUUGUUAUAGGUUGCAUAAUUUUUUUACCUUUAUUAUGGUUUUGUUUUUAUGAAAUUUCAUUAUUGAUUUUUAAAAUACAUGGUGAUAUAAAUGAGGAACUACAAAUUUAUGAUAUGGAUAAUAUAUUAAAAACAGUUAACAGUGAAACCUAUAAAGAGUUUGUUGAAGAUAGUGAUAAAUAUAUUAACAAGAAUAGUAACUUUUUUUUUAUUUUUAAACUUAUUAAACAUUUAUUUAUUAAUAUAUAUGUCACAGGUAUGACGAUAGUGAGCUCAUUAUCUGCAUUUUCAAGUUUAUAUAAUCCUUAUACUAACAUGAACAAUUUUUUUUUUCAUGUAACUGUUAAAAAAGUAAAAAUUAUUGAAAAAAAAAUCUUAUUUAUAACAAAAGAAUUAGCUUUAAAAAAAAAACUGUUAUUGCUAUGUGAUCAUCCAUACUUGAUGAAUAAAUAUACUCAAAAUAAGAGGGUUAUGUCGACUAUUAAUAAAGUAGACAUUGCUAGUAGAUAUUUAAAGCAUAGUUUUACUAAUAAUACCGCAUUUGGUGAUUAUAACUAUUUUCCUAAUAUUAACACGAGUAAUACUACUACUACUACUACUACUACUACUGCUGAUAUUAAAAAUAAUAAUGACUUUGUAAAAAAUAAAUUCCAUUCGAAUUUUACAUUAUAUAAAGAUGACUCGAUUUAUGAGUUAGAUGAUUAUACAACAGAAACAGCAACUACUACUACGUGUUAUAACGACUCUACUACGUAUAAGACAAAUUAUAAUACUGCGACUUAUAAUACUAAUUAUGCACAAGAUAAAAACAAAAAAGGCGAAAAAACAAACAAAAUACAUAACAAACUAAAAGAAUUAAACGUGGCAAAUAACAAGUAUGAUACAUGGUCGUGCAUAAAAAAUUGUGACAAUAGUAAACACGCAGACGAAGAUAAAAAUGGUAAAAUAAAAAAUGAUAUGUAUUACCCGAAAGAUGAAGUAGAAUAUAUAUGCUCCAAGUCAUAUAAAAAAUGCAACUUAUAUCUAGCAAAUCAAAAAUCAAUUUAUGAUGA